GACAGAGGGUGCAAACGUUGUUCGGAAUUACUGGGCGUAAAGCGCGUGUAGGCUGUUUAGAAAGUCGGAUGUGAAAGCCCUGGGCUCAACCUAGGAAGUGCAUUCGAAACUUCUGAGCUGGAGUGCUGGAGAGGAAGGCGGAAUUCUCGGUGUAGAGGUGAAAUUCGUAGAUAUCGAGAGGAACACCGGUGGCGAAGGCGGCCUUCUGGACAGUAACUGACGCUGAGACGCGAAAGCGUGGGGAGCAAACAGG
rnacentral:rRNA from 1 species